rnacentral:snoRNA from 1 species
AUCGUGAUGACAUUGUAUCAUAGUUCACACUGAAACUAUUGUGUUGAUAAACAAGCAUCGUCUUUCGCUCCUAUCUGA